rnacentral:tRNA from 1 species
AGGAUUAUAUUUAAUUAUAAUAUUUGAUUUGCAAUCAAAAGGUAUUCAAAAGAAUUAAUCUUU